rnacentral:rRNA from 1 species
GUGCCAGCAGCCGCGGUAAUACGGAGGAUGCGAGCGUUAUCCGGAUUCAUUGGGUUUAAAGGGUGCGCAGGCGGAAUGAUAAGUCAGUGGUGAAAUCUCCCGGCUCAACCGGGAAACUGCCAUUGAUACUGCCAUUCUUGAGUACAGUUGAAGUGGGCGGAAUGUGUCAUGUAGCGGUGAAAUGCUUAGAUAUGACACAGAACACCGAUAGCGAAGGCAGCUCACUAAGCUGUAACUGACGCUCAUGCACGAAAGCGUGGGGAUCAAACAGGAUUAGAUACCCCGGUAGUCC